rnacentral:rRNA from 2 species
GCGGCAAACGGGUGAGUAAUAUCUGGGGAUCUACCCAAAAGAGGGGGAUAACUACUAGAAAUGGUAGCUAAUACCGCAUAAUGUUGAAAAACCAAAGUGGGGGACCUUUUGGCCUCAUGCUUUUGGAUGAACCCAGACGAGAUUAGCUUGUUGGUAGAGUAAUAGCCUACCAAGGCAACGAUCUCUAGCUGGUCUGAGAGGAUAACCAGCCACACUGGAACUGAGACACGGUCCAGACUCCUACGGGAGGCAGCAGUGGGGAAUAUUGCACAAUGGGCGAAAGCCUGAUGCAGCUAUGCCGCGUGUAUGAAGAAGGCCUUAGGGUUGUAAAGUACUUUCAGCGGGGAGGAAAAAAAUAAAACUAAUAAUUUUAU